GAUGAACGCUGGCGGCGUGCCUAAUACAUGCAAGUCGAGCGAACGGACGCGAAGCUUGCUUCUCUGACGUUAGCGGCGGACGUGAGAGUAACAUGUGUAUAACCUACCUAUAAGACUGGGAUCGCUUCGGGAAACCGGCGCUUAUACCGGAUGAUAUCUUGAACCGCAUGGUUCAAUAGUGAAAGACGGUCUUGCUGUCACUUAUAGAUGGUUCCGGGCUGCAUUAGCUGGUUGGUAAGGUAACGGCGUACCAAGGCGACGAUGCAUAGCCGACCUGAGAGGGGGAUCGCCCGCACUGGAGGUGGAACACGCUCAAGAGUCCUACGGGAGGCAGCAGUAGGGAAUCGGCCGCAAUGGGCGAAAGCCUGACGGAGCAACGCCGCGUGAGUGAUGGAGGUCUUCGGAUCGUAAUACUCUGUUAUUAGGGAAGAACAUAUGUGUAAGUAACUGUGCACAGCUUGACGGUAACUAAUCAGAAAGCCACGGCUAACUACGUG
rnacentral:rRNA from 1 species